CCUACGGGUGGCAGCAGUGGGGAAUAUUGCACAAUGGGGGAAACCCUGAUGCAGCGACGUCGCGUGAGUGAAGAAGUAUUUAGGUAUGUAAAGCUCUAUCAGCAGGGAAGAAAAUGACGGUACCUGACUAAGAAGCCCCGGCUCACUACGAGCCACCAGCCGCGGUGAUAUGUAGGGGGCAAGCGUGAUCCGGAUUUACCGGGUGUAAAGGGAGCGUAGGUGGGAUGGUAAGCGAGAAGUGAAAACCUAGGGCUCACCACUGUUGAUAGCUUUUGAAACUAUCAAGCUAGAGUGAUUGAGGAGUAAGCGGAAUGCGUGGUGUAGCGGUGAAAUGCAUAGAUAUUAGGCAGAACUCCGAUGGCGAAGGCAGCUUACUGGAGAGAAACUGACGCUCAGGCACGAAAGUGUGGGGAGCGAACAGGAUUAGAUACCCGGAUAGUC
rnacentral:rRNA from 1 species